CCUACGGGGGGCAGCAGUCGAGAAUCUUUCACAAUGGGCGAAAGCCUGAUGGAGCGACGCCGCGUGGAGGUUAAGGUCUUCGGAUUGUAAACUCCUGUCAUGCGAGAACUAGUACCGCAAGAGGAAGAGACGGCUAACUCUGUGCCAGCAGCCGCGGUAAUACAGAGGUCUCAAGCGUUGUUCGGAAUUACUGGGCGUAAAGGGUGCGCAGGCUGCGCGGGUAGUCAAAUGUGAAAUUCAGGGGCUCAACCCCUGCAUUGCGCUUGAUACUCCCGCGCUAGAACUUUGGAGAGGAGUCUGGAAUUCUCGGUGUAGCAGUGAAAUGCGUGGAUAUCGAGAAGAACACUUAGGGCGUAGGCAAGACUCUGGACAAUUUGACGCUCAUGCACGAAGGCUAGGGUAGCGAACGGGAUUAGAUACCCUUGUAGUC
rnacentral:rRNA from 1 species